CUCACGCUCUAGUUUCAUAACCGAUUGAUAAUUAUUUUUUCAUUAUUCUGUAGUAUAUAAACCCCCGCAAGUAAAUUAUUUCAUUCUGGCCAAGCAAUUGACAAUUGCAAGCAAAUUUUGUGUCUGUAAAAUGUCGAAAUUAUUGAUCUUCUUUCUUCUGGUCGCCUUGUUGGCUUUUGUGUCCUCUGAAGCCGCGGAGUGUGUCGCCAAAGGUCACAAUUGUUUUGUUGGAAAAUCUACCUGUUGUACAGGUCAGUGCAUAAUUAAGGACGGUACACUAGGAAGCUGUGAAUAGUUAAAAAUAUUUUAUGAUAUGUGUAUCUGUACACAAGUUUGUAAUUUUUUUGAAAUAAAAAUUGAAUUUUAAAUAAA